AUUGAACGCUGGCGGCAUGCCUUACACAUGCAAGUCGAACGGUAACAGGUCUUCGGAUGCUGACGAGUGGCGAACGGGUGAGUAAUACAUCGGAACGUGCCUAGUAGUGGGGGAUAACUACUCGAAAGAGUGGCUAAUACCGCAUGAGAUCUACGGAUGAAAGCAGGGGAUCGCAAGACCUUGUGCUACUAGAGCGGCCGAUGGCAGAUUAGGUAGUUGGUGGGAUAAAAGCUUACCAAGCCGACGAUCUGUAGCUGGUCUGAGAGGACGAUCAGCCACACUGGGACUCAGACACGGCCCAGACUCCUACGGGAGGCAGCAGUGGUGAAUUUUGGACAAUGGGCGAAAGCCUGAUCCAGCAAUGCCGCAUGCAGGAUGAAGGCCUUCGGGUUGUAAACUGCUUUUGUACGGAACGAAAAGCCCCGGGUUAAUACCCUGGGGUCAUGACGGUACCGUAAGAAUAAGCACCGGCUAACUACGUGCCAGCCGCCGCCGUAA
rnacentral:rRNA from 1 species